CAGGAGUUGAUAUUGGCUUAUGGUUCCAGAGGAAUGAGUCCAUCAUGGCAGGAAAGUACGGCAGCAGACGGCAAGAGCAAGAAGCCAAGAGCUCAAGUCGUACAAGACCAAGAGAACAAACUGGAAGUAGAAAUGGAGAACCAGCUGACCCCUUGCCUCUACCUGGAUGCCUAGUGGUACCUCAAAGCCAACUGCCUAACCUGUUCCUGCCUCAGUGAAUGUAUGACCAUCAACUUCCUGUGAAGAGACAUGAAACUAGGCUGUAUCCCCACACAUCCCUUCCAUCUCUCUAUCCUGUGAACAUAGCUCAAAAUUCCUGUUUCCCACAUCUACUACAUUAAAAUGCUUUGAAGAGG